rnacentral:rRNA from 1 species
GAUGAACGCUGGCGGCGUGCCUAAUACAUGCAAGUCGAGCGAACGGACGAGAAGCUUGCUUCUCUGAUGUUAGCGGCGGACGGGUGAGUAACACGUGGAUAACCUACCUAUAAGACUGGGAUAACUUCGGGAAACCGGAGCUAAUACCGGAUAAUAUUUUGAACCGCAUGGUUCAAAAGUGAAAGACGGUCUUGCUGUCACUUAUAGAUGGAUCCGCGCUGCAUUAGCUAGUUGGUAAGGUAACGGCUUACCAAGGCAACGAUGCAUAGCCGACCUGAGAGGGUGAUCGGCCACACUGGAACUGAGACACGGUCCAGACUCCUACGGGAGGCAGCAGUAGGGAAUCUUCCGCAAUGGGCGAAAGCCUGACGGAGCAACGCCGCGUGAGUGAUGAAGGUCUUCGGAUCGUAAAACUCUGUUAUUAGGGAAGAACAUAUGUGUAAGUAACUGUGCACAUCUUGACGGUACCUAAUCAGAAAGCCACGGCUAACUACGUGCCAGCAGCCGCGGUAAUACGUAGGUGGCAAGCGUUAUCCGGAAUUAUUGGGCGUAAAGCGCGCGUAGGCGGUUUUUUAAGUCUGAUGUGAAAGCCCACGGCUCAACCGUGGAGGGUCAUUGGAAGCUGGAAAACUUGAGUGCAGAAGAGGAAAGUGGAAUUCCAUGUGUAGCGGUGAAAUGCGCAGAGAUAUGGAGGAACACCAGUGGCGAAGGCGACUUUCUGGUCUGUAACUGACGCUGAUGUGCGAAAGCGUGGGGAUCAAACAGGAUUAGAUACCCUGGUAGUCCACGCCGUAAACGAUGAGUGCUAAGUGUUAGGGGGUUUCCGCCCCUUAGUGCUGCAGCUAACGCAUUAAGCACUCCGCCUGGGGAGUACGACCGCAAGGUUGAAACUCAAAGGAAUUGACGGGGACCCGCACAAGCGGUGGAGCAUGUGGUUUAAUUCGAAGCAACGCGAAGAACCUUACCAAAUCUUGACAUCCUUUGACAACUCUAGAGAUAGAGCCUUCCCCUUCGGGGGACAAAGUGACAGGUGGUGCAUGGUUGUCGUCAGCUCGUGUCGUGAGAUGUUGGGUUAAGUCCCGCAACGAGCGCAACCCUUAAGCUUAGUUGCCAUCAUUAAGUUGGGCACUCUAAGUUGACUGCCGGUGACAAACCGGAGGAAGGUGGGGAUGACGUCAAAUCAUCAUGCCCCUUAUGAUUUGGGCUACACACGUGCUACAAUGGACAAUACAAAGGGCAGCGAAACCGCGAGGUCAAGCAAAUCCCAUAAAGUUGUUCUCAGUUCGGAUUGUAGUCUGCAACUCGACUACAUGAAGCUGGAAUCGCUAGUAAUCGUAGAUCAGCAUGCUACGGUGAAUACGUUCCCGGGUCU